UUCAUCAUGUAACAGGAUCAGAAAUGAUAGAAAUAAUAAGUCCAAGUAAGGGCGGCAUUAAUGGUAACCUCACGGCAGUAACUUUGAUUAUAAAUCAUAGGUAUAAGAAGAUCGUUUGGUAGUUUGUUAAGGAGAGGUAAUGUGUAACGCCCAUCACGUUCCCUUAAU
rnacentral:lncRNA from 1 species